rnacentral:rRNA from 1 species
UACGUAGGGUGCGAGCGUUGUCCGGAAUUAUUGGGCGUAAAGAGCUCGUAGGCGGUCUGUCGCGUCGAUCGUGAAAACUUGGGGCUUAACCCUGAGCUUGCGGUCGAUACGGGCAUGACUGGAGUUCGGCAGGGGAGACUGGAAUUCCUGGUGUAGCGGUGAAAUGCGCAGAUAUCAGGAGGAACACCGGUGGCGAAGGCGGGUCUCUGGGCCUUACCUGACGCUGAGGAGCGAAAGCGUGGGUAGCGAACAGG